rnacentral:rRNA from 1 species
GAUGAACGCUGGCGGCGUGCCUAAUACAUGUAAGUCGAACGGAGAAUGUAGCAAUACGUUCUUAGUGGCGAACGGGUGAGUAACGCGUUGGUGACCUGCCCCGAAGAGAGGGAUAACAGUUCGAAAGGACUGCUAAUACCUCAUGUGGUCAUAGAGGUUAGAGGCUUUAUGACUAAAGGGAGUAAUUCGCUUCGGGAGGGGCCUGCGUCCCAUCAGCUUGUUGGUAGGGUAAUGGCCUACCAAGGCUACGACGGGUAGGGGACCUGAGAGGGUGACCCCCCACACUGGCACUGAAAUACGGGCCAGACACCUACGGGAGGCAG